UGGGGAGCAAGAUGGAUGUGACGGGCGGGGCCGGGGGUGGGAUUUGUCUGGCCGCUUUCCUGCGGCUGCUGCUGCUGCUGCUGAAAAGGCCAGCCGGGCUGGAGAGACCUGGCAUUGGCGCAUCUGGGAACCGACGUCCGUGCGCGGCUGGCUAGAAUGCUGGACUCGCCUCCGCAGCGCUGGCCUGCAGGGAUUAGAAGACAUGUGGGGUCAAGGAACAGGAAGCUGACCUGGAUGGAAGUUGAACAGUGAUCUUUGCUCUCUGCCUGGCUCCUGAGUCCUCUGCCAUGUUCCUGGAGAAGAGGAGCCAGCCAGGGUAAGAAGGGCAGGGGCUUAGGGUGGAAACGCCAUGUGGGUGAGGAUCCUGCCUGAAACAGCUUUGAGAGUCCUGCGAUGACAGAUUGGCCCCAUGCCAGGCCUUAUCUCUUUGGACAUCCCAAACAGGAAUGACCAGCAUGUCCGAUCCUGGGACUGGGAGCCGGAAAGGGAUGAGGGAUGGUUUUUCCACUCCAGGGGAGUGUCCAGAGGGAAUGUGGAGCAGAGCAGGGGCG
rnacentral:lncRNA from 1 species